rnacentral:rRNA from 1 species
AAAUUGAAGAGUUUGAUCAUGGCUCAGAUUGAACGCUGGCGGCAGGCCUAACACAUGCAAGUCGAACGGUAACAGGAAGAAGCUUGCUUCUUUGCUGACGAGUGGCGGACGGGUGAGUAAUGUCUGGGAAACUGCCUGAUGGAGGGGGAUAACUACUGGAAACGGUAGCUAAUACCGCAUAACGUCGCAAGACCAAAGAGGGGGACCUUCGGGCCUCUUGCCAUCGGAUGUGCCCAGAUGGGAUUAGCUUGUUGGUGGGGUAACGGCUCACCAAGGCGACGAUCCCUAGCUGGUCUGAGAGGAUGACCAGCCACACUGGAACUGAGACACGGUCCAGACUCCUACGGGAGGCAGCAGUGGGGAAUAUUGCACAAUGGGCGCAAGCCUGAUGCAGCCAUGCCGCGUGUAUGAAGAAGGCCUUCGGGUUGUAAAGUACUUUCAGCGGGGAGGAAGGGAGUAAAGUUAAUACCUUUGCUCAUUGACGUUACCCGCAGAAGAAGCACCGGCUAACUCCGUGCCAGCAGCCGCGGUAAUACGGAGGGUGCAAGCGUUAAUCGGAAUUACUGGGCGUAAAGCGCACGCAGGCGGUUUGUUAAGUCAGAUGUGAAAUCCCCGGGCUCAACCUGGGAACUGCAUCUGAUACUGGCAAGCUUGAGUCUCGUAGAGGGGGGUAGAAUUCCAGGUGUAGCGGUGAAAUGCGUAGAGAUCUGGAGGAAUACCGGUGGCGAAGGCGGCCCCCUGGACGAAGACUGACGCUCAGGUGCGAAAGCGUGGGGAGCAAACAGGAUUAGAUACCCUGGUAGUCCACGCCGUAAACGAUGUCGACUUGGAGGUUGUGCCCUUGAGGCGUGGCUUCCGGAGCUAACGCGUUAAGUCGACCGCCUGGGGAGUACGGCCGCAAGGUUAAAACUCAAAUGAAUUGACGGGGGCCCGCACAAGCGGUGGAGCAUGUGGUUUAAUUCGAUGCAACGCGAAGAACCUUACCUGGUCUUGACAUCCACGGAAGUUUUCAGAGAUGAGAAUGUGCCUUCGGGAACCGUGAGACAGGUGCUGCAUGGCUGUCGUCAGCUCGUGUUGUGAAAUGUUGGGUUAAGUCCCGCAACGAGCGCAACCCUUAUCCUUUGUUGCCAGCGGUCCGGCCGGGAACUCAAAGGAGACUGCCAGUGAUAAACUGGAGGAAGGUGGGGAUGACGUCAAGUCAUCAUGGCCCUUACGACCAGGGCUACACACGUGCUACAAUGGCGCAUACAAAGAGAAGCGACCUCGCGAGAGCAAGCGGACCUCAUAAAGUGCGUCGUAGUCCGGAUUGGAGUCUGCAACUCGACUCCAUGAAGUCGGAAUCGCUAGUAAUCGUGGAUCAGAAUGCCACGGUGAAUACGUUCCCGGGCCUUGUACACACCGCCCGUCACACCAUGGGAGUGGGUUGCAAAAGAAGUAGGUAGCUUAACCUUCGGGAGGGCGCUUACCACUUUGUGAUUCAUGACUGGGGUGAAGUCGUAACAAGGUAACCGUAGGGGAACCUGCGGUUGGAUCACCUCCUUACCUUAAAGAA